AACUUUCAGCAAUGGAUCACUUGGCUCUCGCAUCGAUGAAGAACGCUGCGAAAUGCGAUAAGUAAUGUGAAUUGCAGAAUUCAGUGAAUCAUCGAAUCUUUGAACGCACCUUGCACCCUUUGGCAUUCCGAAGGGUAUGCUCGUUUGAGUGUCAUUGUACUCUCACACUCCCGAUGCUUUUGGAUUGGGAGUGGUGGACUUGGGUGUUGCUGCUUUACUGUGGCUCACCUCAAAUGGAGUAGUGCAACUCUUGGUUGGACAUAGUACGGCGUGAUAAGUGUCUUCGCCGGCGCCUCAUUAGAGGGUGGCCGAUCGGGAGCUCUGUGCUUCAAACCGUCUUCGGACAACAUCUGACAACUUGACCUCAAAUCGAGUAGGACUACCCGCUGAACUUAGGCAUAUCAAUAAGCGGAGGCU
rnacentral:misc_RNA from 1 species